rnacentral:rRNA from 1 species
CCUACGGGUGGCAGCAGUGAGGAAUAUUGGUCAAUGGGCGGGAGCCUGAACCAGCCAAGUCGCGUGAGGGAUGACGGCCCUAUGGGUUGUAAACCUCUUUUGCCGGGGAGCAAAGUGCCGCACGUGUGCGGUUUGGAGAGUACCCGGAGAAAAAGCAUCGGCUAACUCCGUGCCAGCAGCCGCGGUAAUACGGAGGAUGCGAGCGUUAUCCGGAUUUAUUGGGUUUAAAGGGCGUGUAGGCGGGAGCGCAAGUCAGAUGUGAAAACUCAGGGCUCAACCCUGAGCCUGCAUUUGAAACUGUGGUUCUUGAGUGCUGGAGAGGCAAUCGGAAUUCCGUGUGUAGCGGUGAAAUGCGUAGAUAUACGGAGGAACACCAGUGGCGAAGGCGGAUUGCUGGACAGUAACUGACGCUGAGGCGCGAAAGCGUGGGGAGCAAACAGGAUUAGAUACCCCAGUAGUC